AGAACAUCGAUUCUGGAAGUUAUGAGAAAUGUAAAGACCGAAGGGAAUUUCCAAGAGAGAGGAUGGUGGUGCAGUGCAUAUUGCAACCCCGGAUCAGCCAGAAGUCCGUGGAUUUGGGAAAGCACAUGUAACAAUGUCGUCCAGGGUACACUGCAAGGAACACAGGCUUAGAGUCACAAGGGUCUGUGCUUGAACCCAGGUCUGUUAUUUGCUACUUAUGUCCUUGGAAAUGAUUUAAUAUUGUUAUGAUUCAAUCUCUUUAUUUCUUACAUGGAUUUAAUAACAUCUACCCCAUAGUUUAACAUUUAAAUUAGAUAAUGCAUAUGUAGUGGCUAGUGGUUAUUACAAUUAUUACUCUUCUGUUACUGCAAUCUCACAGGAAGGUAAGGACCUUGACAAGAGAUGAAGGUCUGUUAUCACAAGAAGAGCAAGAAACAAACCAGCUGACUUCCGAAGCAUUUUUUAAAGUCCAGCAUCAAACUCUCGGGAGUGUGAGCAAAAAGUGGGACUGGCAUGGGAUCAGUUUUCUGCAAGUACCCUAAUCCUGUGAGUGCCCAGGCCACUUAGAUCUCUGACCUAGUGAACAUUUAGUGCUUAAUCACCCUCAAAAUAUACUAUUUUAUCCUUGAAGUGGGAUUGUCUUGGGCUUAUGCGAUGAGCCACACUGGAGACAAAAUAGACCAGUUCUGGAUCUCUGGAGGACUAAGAGAGGUCUGUGCUUUUUACCGUAUUUAACUGAGCUCCUGAUAAGAUUGCUUUCCUGGGAUUACAGAAUGGAAACUUGAGGUAUUCAUCUGAUCUCUUUCCCCUCAGCAUGCUCAACUCCAUUAACGACUAAAGAAGCACUUUCCUAGCACAUUUAAUGGGCUUGGGCUCAUAAAGAAUCAUUCCAGGUUCUCACGAUGCCCGGCUGGCCGAGGUGUUAAAGUACAGAAAACUUUAAGUCUGGAGAGGUUUAGAAGCUCAUCUUGGCACCUCAUUUUUAAGCGGGGGCUAAUUUUACCCAGAGGCCGGCCACAAGCACGAAUUUCUUCAGAUUUGGAACUUUGGGGAGAUACUUUAUGUAAAGUGUGGCUGUUGGGUUGCUGCAGCUGUGUUUGAAAAAAGUACGGGGGGUGGGAGGGGGAGAUUGAGGCCUACAGAAGUAGGAGAUUCUGUAGUUAGUCAAGCAUCAGAACCCAGGUGUUCAGAUAUGACUAGUUUUGGCAAUGUCAGGAAGAAAGGACUGGACAGGGGAAAGGAGAUUUGCAGCUAAAAAGUUAGUGCUGAGUUUGUUGGCAAACUUGCCUCUAGAAUUUUUUUUAGAAAGUGAUUUCUAAAAUAUUAUUAUAUAAGUGAAUUAGUUUCUAUUUCUGUGUAAUACAUGAAUCCAAAACUAAGCAGUUUAAAACAACAAAGAAUGAUUAUCUCCCAGUUUCUAUGGGACUGGAAUCUGAGCAUGGCUUAGGUAGAUGCCUCUGGCUCAAGAUGUCUCACAAGACUGCAAUUAAGAAGUCAGCAGGGGCUGUGGUCUCAUCUGAAGGCUCACCUUGGGAAGGACCUACUUGCAACCUCAUCCAUGUGGUUCUUGGCAAGAUUCAGUUCCUCGUGGGCUAUUGGACUAAGGGUCUCAUUGCCUUGCUGGCUGUUGUCCAGGGGACCCUACAGUUCUUUGUCAUGGAGGCCUCUUCACAGGGCAGCUUGCAACAUGGCAGUGGGCUUCCCUCAAAGCAAGUGAGAAGGCAAGAGAGAGUGCACAGCCUUUUUAUAUACUAAUAUCAAAAGUGACAUCCCAUCAACUCUACUGCAUUCUAUUCUCUAGAAGCAAGUCACUAAAUCAGCCCCCACUCAAGGGGAGGGAGGGUUACAAAGGCAUGCAUACCAGGAGGAGGGGAUCACUGGGGCCAUCUUGUAGACUGCCUACUGGACAUUUGUUUUGGGUAGAAAAUCAGGAAAACUCUGAAAUACUACACUUCAUAGGCAACUUUACCAUGAAGAUCUUAACUAAUUACACACCUUCUUGUGCCUUUUUUCUAUACACAUAUGUAUUUUUUAAAAGAUUUCAAACUAUAUAUACUAUGAUUGCCUGCACUGUUAACUCAGAAAUAUUUCAUGUAUUGGUGUCAAUAAACCUUGUUCUACUAUAUCACUUUUAACGGCUUAUUUCAUCAUGUAUUUCAUCAUAUGAACUUAUUCCACAAAUGACUCAGCCACCCUUGCUCCAGCUCUGCAUUUAAUUUUGUCAAAUUAAUGUCACAAUCAUGAAAAAUUGUGCCAGGCAUUUAAUGUGCUAAAGUGCAGCAAAUCUCAGCAAGCUCUGUGCCUUCUGGCCUGUCCCUGGGGCUCAGCCUGUAGGUCUCUAACAUGAGAGGUUCGAAUAGAUGGCCACUAAGGUCCCUUUAGAGACCAGAAAGCCUGUCCCCUGGGAGUGGUGAUUCCUCAGAGAUGCUACCCAACCCACUGGGGCCAGGAGUUUAGCAGCUGUCUAGGAUGCCUUUGUUGAUUUUGAGACCUCUGAAUCCUUCUAUGUCUGUGUAAAUAUAUACAACUUGCUUGAAUGUAUUUA
rnacentral:lncRNA from 1 species